rnacentral:piRNA from 1 species
UGAGGUCCAGCACAUUACUCCAACAGG